rnacentral:rRNA from 1 species
AACGAACGCUGGCGGCAGGCUUAACACAUGCAAGUCGAGCGCCCCGCAAGGGGAGCGGCAGACGGGUGAGUAACGCGUGGGAAUCUACCCAGUUCUACGGAACAACUGAGGGAAACUUCAGCUAAUACCGUAUACGCCUUACGGGGGAAAGAUUUAUCGGAAUUGGAUGAGCCCGCGUGGGAUUAGCUAGUUGGUGAGGUAACGGCUCACCAAGGGGACGAUGCAUAGCUGGUCUGAGAGGAUGAUCAGCCACACUGGGACUGAGACACGGCCCAGACUCCUACGGGAGGCAGCAGUGGGGAAUAUUGGACAAUGGGGGCAAGCCUGAUCCAGCCAUGCCGGGUGAGUGAUGAAGGCCUUAGGGUUGUAAAGCUCUUUCAGUGGGGACGAUAAUGACGGUACCCACAGAAGAAGCCCCGGCUAACUUCGUGCCAGCAGCCGCCGUAAUAC